rnacentral:rRNA from 1 species
UAAUACGAAGGGGGCGAGCGUUGUUCGGAGUUACUGGGCGUAAAGGGCGCGUAGGCGGCGCUCCAAGUUAGGCGUGAAAGCCCCGGGCUCAACCUGGGAAUUGCGCUUAAGACUGGAGUGCUCGAGUGCGGAAGAGGUGAGUGGAAUUCCCAGUGUAGAGGUGAAAUUCGUAGAUAUUGGGAAGAACACCAGUGGCGAAGGCGGCUCACUGGUCCGCAACUGACGCUGAGGCGCGAAAGCGUGGGGAGCAAACAGG